rnacentral:rRNA from 1 species
CCUACGGGCUGCACCAGUGGGGAAUAUUGGACAAUGGGCGAAAGCCUGAUCCAGCAAUGCCGCGUGUGUGAAGAAGGUCUUCGGAUUGUAAAGCACUUUCGACGGGGACGAUGAUGACGGUACCCGUAGAAGAAGCCCCGGCUAACAUCGUGCCAGCAGCCGCGGUAAUACGAAGGGGGCUAGCGUUGCUCGGAAUGACUGGGCGUAAAGGGCGCGUAGGCGGUUUAUGCAGUCAGAUGUGAAAUCCCCGGGCUUAACCUGGGAACUGCAUUUGAGACGCAUAGACUAGAGGUCGAGAGAGGGUUGUGGAAUUCCCAGUGUAGAGGUGAAAUUCGUAGACAUUGGGAAGAACACCGGUGGCGAAGGCGGCAACCUGGCUUGAUACUGAUGCUGAGGCGCGAAAGCGUGGGGAGCAAACAGGAUUAGAUACCCUCGUAGUC